rnacentral:rRNA from 1 species
UACGAAGGGGGCUAGCGUUGCUCGGAAUCACUGGGCGUAAAGCGCACGUAGGCGGCUUUCUAAGUCAGGGGUGAAAUCCUGGAGCUCAACUCCAGAACUGCCUUUGAUACUGGCGAUCUUGAGUCCGGGAGAGGUGAGUGGAACUGCGAGUGUAGAGGUGAAAUUCGUAGAUAUUCGCAAGAACACCAGUGGCGAAGGCGGCUUACUGGUCCGGUUCUGACGCUGAGGCGCGAAAGCGUGGGGAGCAAACAGG